GACGUAGGGCGCGAGCGUUGUCCGGAUUUAUUGGGCGUAAAGAGCUCGUAGGCGGUUUGUCGCGUCGUCUGUGAAAACCCACGGCUCAACUGUGGGCUUGCAGUCGAUACGGGCAGGCUAGAGUUCGGUAGGGGAGACUGGAAUUCCUGGUGUAGCGGUGAAAUGCGCAGAUAUCAGGAGGAACACCGGUGGCGAAGGCGGGUCUCUGGGCAGUAACUGACGCUGAGGAGCGAAAGCGUGGGGAGCGAACAGG
rnacentral:rRNA from 1 species